rnacentral:rRNA from 1 species
CUGGCAGUCAUUCGCUGUCCGAGUUGUAAAUUGAAGAGAAUGUCAUCCACGCUGGACCAUGUCUAAAUUGUAAUGAUCCACAGUCCUUUGAUGGAGUAUCAGAGAGGGUAAUAAUCCCGUCUUUAACAUGGACUACCAGUGUUUCUGUGAUGCACUCUCUCAGAGUCGAGUAGUUUGGGAAUGCUGCUCUAAUGGGAGGUAAACUCCUUCUAAAGCUAAAUAUUGGCGAGAGACCGAUAGCGAACAAGUACCGUGAGGGAAAGAUGAAAAGAACUCUGGAAAGAGAGUCAAAUAGAACGUGAAAUUGCUGAAAGGGAAGCGUUUGGAGUCAGACGCAUCUUUCAUGCUAUACCACUCAGCGGCAUGAAGGCUGAGAGCGGUUACUUGAAGAUGGGCCAGCACUCACGAAGACCAUUGAAGAAGGGGUCUUGGAAUGUAGCUCAGUCUUGAGUGAUUAUAGCCUUGAUUCAGAAGCAAUGUGUCUUUGUGUGAGAUUGACAGCACCAAUCUGAUUGAGUGCUUGAUUGAGACUGGCAUAAUGGCUCUAAGCGACCCGUCUUGAAACACGGACCAAGGAGUCUAACAUGUAUGCGAGUAUUAGAGUGAUUGAAACUCUGAAUGCGCAAUGAAAGUGUUCUGACUGAGAAUCCCCCCUUUGGGAGGCAUCAGUACCCCGAGUCUUUGUUAGUCUUUGACUAAAGAUUUGGAGGUAGAGCAUUCAUGUUGGGACCCG